ensembl:snoRNA
AUUUGUUGAAAAUCACCCCUGGCCUUGAUCAUGGCAUGUGUUGAGAUUUGGUACCCAGAGCCACCAGGGGCCUCAGCUUACCUCCAGCUGCCACAGUGUGGGAGGGUGAAAUCCAGGCCCUGACAAGG